AUGCUUGCUUUGGCAGCAUAUAUACUAAAACUGGAAGGAUACAGAGAAGAUUAGCAUGGCCUCUGCGCAAGGAUGACACGCAAAUUCAUGAAGUGUUCCAUAUUUUU